CUGCUUAAAACAAGAAAUCUGAGUCCAUGGCUGACUACAUAAUUUGCAGAGCUAAAUGGAGAAUGAAAAUGCAGAGCCCUUAUCCCCUGGGAGGAAAAAAAUGCUAUUAAAGGAAACUCAUUUACCCCAUCACAUGGCUUCAAAUACCACCAUGUGACAGUGAUGCGCUUGGAGUGACAUUACUGGAUCUGUUUCUCCUGUAUAAGAAAUGCUCCAGAGUCCAAACAUCAGAACGUGUAGUUUGUACAAACUCUGAACUUUGUGAUUUGAAAUGAAACCUCUAAACCAGUCUACUGGGGAGGAUGACGAAGGAACAGCGAGAGAGAGAAGACAGAAUCUUCGAACUUUUCAACAAAAUUGUUUCAACUGUCCUCAACAGUCCUUGGGAUCACCCUUGAUUUCUUCUUAACGUUUGAGCUUAUUGUUGAGGAAAUACUUCCUACUGUCGCCAAGAUGAACAUGCCCCACGUGGUUCGGAGAGAGCCCUCAUCGGCCUCUUGUCCAACUGCCAGUCUUCCCAUCCGUAGCCGGGCAUCUUUUUGUGACCACCACCUGUCACCCACUUUUCUCCAAAUGAGUUCAUUUGAAAUGGGUCGUGGAAGCCCACUCGCCACCCUUGCACCCUGUCACAAAGCGGGGCAAGAUCUUCUGCAGGCUCCCCACACCAGCUGACAUUUCACUACUUGAAGGCAGGUAGCAUCACCAUCAUCAGGAAACUUGGGGGUUGCCUUUUGUAGACAUUCUCCCAUACACUUCAAAAAAACCGUAGCAUCGUGCACCCAAGCUCCCAGUAGCGGAGAGGUAGAAACAACUUCAGUGCUUAUCAAGGGACGAGUGAAUAGACAAAAGGUGGUGUAUGCGUGCAAUGGAAUAUUAUUCAGCCUUGAAAAGGAAGAACAUUUUGAUGUAUGGUACAAGAGACACUGACAACGUUGUACUAAGUGAAAUAAGCCAGUCACAAAAGGAAAAUUAUGUACAAUUCCGUUUGUGUGGAAUAUCCAGAAGUAAAUCCCCAGAGACAGAGCAGGUUAGCUGGGUCUGAGGAAAAGGCAAAAUGACAGUUUGGGGACUUCCUGUUGGGGUAGUGAAAGUGUCUGCAACUAGCUAGAGGUGAUGGUUGCAUAACAUGGUGAAUGGACCAAAUGCCAUUAAACUGUAUGCUUUAAAAUGGUAAA